GGGAGCGUAAGGCUUCGACAAUGUUCUUAUUAAAAUUUAUGCAGGUGGUAGAUGGAUAUCACUACCUAAAACAUUAUCCAAAAUUAUAAUUGCCAAAAACAAUUAUUCAGGAGCUUUAGCUUUCGCUUAAGUUCCUUGGCUCGCUUACUUUGUGAGCGGCCCGUUCUUUCAGAGAUGCUCGCUAUCUGAAAAGAGCGCCAUUAGCGAGAUACUGCAUUUAGGCAUUUUGGUGUGUUCUCGUCUGGGUGCAGAAAAUUCAUAGAAUGCUGGCUUAGCACUUUUGCUGAUUUUGAAGCUAAGCAAUAAAAAAUUAGCUAAACUUGUAGAAUAAAUUUUGAUUGAAUAUUGGACGGGGUUUCAAUACCCCCGCUUCCACAU
rnacentral:tmRNA from 6 species